AUUGAACGCUGGCGGCAGGCCUAACACAUGCAAGUCGAGCGGAUGAAGGGAGCUUGCUCCUGGAUUCAGCGGCGGACGGGUGAGUAAUGCCUAGGAAUCUGCCUGGUAGUGGGGGAUAACGUCCGGAAACGGGCGCUAAUACCGCAUACGUCCUGAGGGAGAAAGUGGGGGAUCUUCGGACCUCACGCUAUCAGAUGAGCCUAGGUCGGAUUAGCUAGUUGGUGGGGUAAAGGCCUACCAAGGCGACGAUCCGUAACUGGUCUGAGAGGAUGAUCAGUCACACUGGAACUGAGGCACGGUCCAGACUCCUACGGGAGGCAGCAGUGGGGAAUAUUGGACAAUGGGCGAAAGCCUGAUCCAGCCAUGCCACGUGUGUGAAGAAGGUCUUCGGAUUGUAAAGCACUUUAAGUUGGGAGGAAGGGCAGUAAGUUAAUACCUUGCUGUUUUGACGUUACCAACAGAAUAAGCACCGGCUAACUUCGUG
rnacentral:rRNA from 1 species